rnacentral:rRNA from 1 species
UACGUAGGGGUCGAGCGUUGUCCGGAGUUACUGGGCGUAAAGCGUGUGCAGGCGGCGCAUCGCGCCCGGCGUGAAAGCCCCCGGCUCAACCGGGGAGGGUCGUCGGGGACGGGUGCGCUUGAGGGUAUCAGGGGCAGGUAGAAUUCCCGGUGUAGUGGUGAAAUGCGUAGAGAUCGGGAGGAAUACCCGUGGCGAAGGCGGCCUGCUGGGAUACACCUGACGCUGAGACACGAAGGCGUGGGGAGCGAACGGG